rnacentral:rRNA from 1 species
GAGUACGCGUGAGAAUCUGCCUCUAGGUCGGGGACAACAACUGGAAACGUGUUGCUACUACCCGAUGUGCAGCAAUGUGAACGAUUUAUUGCCUAGAGAUGAGCUCCGGUCUGAUUAGCUAGUAGGUGUGGUAAUGGCGCACCUAGGCGACGAUCAGUAACUGGUCUGAGAGGAUGCCCAGUCACACUGGGACUG